AGCGAACGCUGGCGGCAGGCUUAACACAUGCAAGUCGAGCGGGCACCUUCGGGUGUCAGCGGCAGACGGGUGAGUAACACGUGGGAACGUACCCUUUGGUUCGGAACAACUCUGGGAAACUGGAGCUAAUACCGGAUACGCCCUUAUGGGGAAAGGUUUACUGUCGAAGGAUCGGCCCGCGUCUGAUUAGCUAGUUGGUGAGGUAACGGCUCACCAAGGCGACGAUCAGUAGCUGGUCUGAGAGGAUGAUCAGCCACACUGGGACUGAGACACGGCCCAGACUCCUACGGGAGGCAGCAGUGGGGAAUAUUGGACAAUGGGCGCAAGCCUGAUCCAGCCAUGCCGCGUGAGUGAUGAAGGCCUUAGGGUUGUAAAGCUCUUUUGUCCGGGACGAUAAUGACGGUACCGGAAGAAUAAG
rnacentral:rRNA from 1 species